rnacentral:rRNA from 1 species
GACGAACGCUGGCGGCGUGCCUAAUACAUGCAAGUAGGACGCAGUUGCGAACGGGUGAGUAACGCGUAGGUAACUGCCUAUUAGAGGGGGAUAACUAUUGGAAACGAUAGCUAAUACCGCAUACUAGUAGAUGGACCUGCGUUGUAUUAGCUAGUAGGUAGGGUAAUGGCCUACCUAGGCAACGAUGCAUAGCCGACCGGAGAGGGUGGAGGGCCAAACUGGGACUGAGACACGGGCCAGACUCCUAAGGGGGGGAGCAGUAGGGAAUUGUCGGAAAUGGGGGGAAACCUGACGGAGGAACGCGGCGGGAGUGAAGAAGGGUUUCGGAUGGUAAAGCUCUGUUGUUAAGGAAGCGGUACUUAACCAGAAAGGGACGGCUAACUACGUGCCAGCAGCCGCGGUAAUUC